ACGUCCUGAAAACGAAACGAAACAGAUCAAAAUAAUGAAGAUUUCGAAUCGUUUAUCAGGAUGUUG
rnacentral:pre_miRNA from 1 species